CUAACUCCUGUGAUUAAGGAUUAUUUGAAACAACCCAAACCUUUGUUUACAUCUCUUCCAUUCAUUCAUGUGGAAAGUUUGUUGCUUUAGCUUUCUAAUUGUAAAAGACAGCCGGUUGCAGUUUAGUGUGCCUGUCUUGUCUAGAUAAAUAAGUGUGUAUUUAUCUGUAUCACCUAGUGCAUGUGUUGGCAUGUGUGAGUGUGUGCAUGCUGCUGAUAUCGCAGGGUUUGCAAACAGGAGUACUGCUGGCUGUGGACCAAGAGGAGGUUUACAUGGGGCUGGGCCACGAGGGCUCAAACCACCUUACUGCCCCUAUCCAGACACCCUCCUCCCAAUCCAACCUGCCCCUUGCUCCUCAGCCCGCCCAGCCCACCGCCACCACAACCAGUACCAGCACCCCUCCUCCACUCUCAGCCACUCACAUGCACCCUCUUUUCUCUCUCCUUCCUGCCGUGUGCCAUUCCUCCCUCUCUCUCUCUCUCUCUCUGCACUCACCCAAAGUGGCCAGAUCUCUCCUCUCUUUCUCUUGUCCUGUCUGCAUCCCUCCACCACUCUUUCUUUCUCUUCCUCCACGCCGACCAGCCCGAGUCUGUUCACAUUCACCUCCACAAGUUGAAAGGAUCUCAACCCACCGCUUUCCCAAACUUCCUCCGGCCAAAGACUUUAUUUUCAUUCUUGACCUUUUUUGGAUCCCUCAACAUUUUACUACCGUAGACGCCGGUUGGUGUGUGUUAGGUCUCCGGUGUUGUGCCCCUGGGGACGUCUCUGUGGGUUUUGACUGGCGAGAAGAGCGGAGAAGAGUUUUUUUUGACACAAUGAAAGUUCAGCUGCUGCUCCUGUCGGCCCUUGUUGGCCUUUUGUGCGCCUUCACAAGUGCAAAUCCAAUUACAGACCCUACAGAACUUCACAAUUCAUCUGUGGUCAUUACAGAAGGAGAAACCACACCUGGUGUUGCUCUAGAGGCUAAUCCUACCACUGUUGUCACCAGUCAUCCUCCAUCUGUACCAACUACGGCCCAUUUCGAAAUUACAACACACGUUUUCAAUGACCAUACGAGUGUGCCUGUGCCUACAACUGAAGCCCUAGUCACUGAAACAGAAGCUCCCAAUACACCUACCCAAUACGCUGAAUAUACGUCUGAGGAGACCACAUCGUCCACUGAGCAAGUACUCAGUGAGUCCCAAACAGACGACCUCACUGAGACAAUGGGCCCUACUGGGACAGUGAUCCCUGCUGACACAGAGGGCACUGCUGAGAGAGUGGGCCCUGUUGGGACAGAAACCACUGACCUGAUCAUUGAGGAGGACACAGAAGGUGAGGAAAGUGUGGGAGAAAGGAGAGAGGCCCUGAGCUCUGGACAGAUUGUGGGCAUUGUAGUCGGCGCCCUGCUGGCAGUGGCCGUCAUCACAGCAGUGGUGAUUGUUGUCUUGAAGAGGAUGGGCGAAUACUCACCUUGAGGAAAAAGCCUACAAAGCAGCGGGACCGUGCGAAGUUCUGGAAAUUCUGAACUACUGAACUGUGACGUCAUUUCUGAUUAUUAAAAACAAGCACGCGAUGCCAGAACUAAGCAAACCUAACCAGCUCUCUGGACUGUGUUAACAAAAGCGAGGGGCGAGGGGCACGGGGCACGGGGUGGGGAGGGUGGGGGGUUUAUUUUUUUAAUGUAUAUAUUGCAUGUAUGUGACACAAGAGGGGUACAUGAGCCAAAAUCCUCACCUGCCCCUGCAAACUUCCUGAUCCCGAGGAGCUGUUAAAGAGAACAAAACAAGGUGACAACAGGAUGUCAGGAAGAAUUUCAGGCUUUUCAAAUGCAUUUUGUAGAAAAAAGACAAGACAGGGGUAAGUCCUCCACAUAAGCGAUUUAGUGACUGACUUAGAUUAAUACCAAGAAAGAAAAAUGACAUAAAAAUUAGAAAUACUUACAAAUCAAAGACAUAAGGAGGCUGGGAUUAGGAAAGAAAACAAGAAAUACUGUUGCCAAUUUUGCUGGAUGUAUAUACAGUGCUAGACAAAGACUAUACUGCAUUCAGUUACUCUCAUAUGUUGCACUCGCAUAGGCUAGGCAUUUAAUAUUAUGGAAUAUGCAGUACACUAUGUACAGGCAGCCUUAGGCUAUUGUUGUGGCUAAAGCACCCACGAGCACCGGUAUAGAGUAUGCUGUCAUGCAGCCCCUAAUAGGUUGGCCAACUGGAUGAAGCUUCUGGCCCUGGUGAGCUCUGAGGGUCAUCAGACACGAAAAGACACCCCUCGUUUGCAAGAGUAACGUGACAUUCUGCCCAGUUUAACACUUACAUAUAAAAACCUAAUACAUAUCUGUGAAAUUUAGCAGAAGGGUUUGUGCCACUGUCUCUGGUAUUCUCUAGCUAGCUAAGAUGAUUUUUUUUAUUUUUUUUUUUGGAAGUGCAUUAAAAAUGUGAAUUGAAUGUACUUUUAAACUGAUACCCAUUCCAAAACAAACAACUUGGCCCGUUAGCUUAUAAAGGCUCGCACAUUUGGUUACCAGACAUAGCAGUGACAUUGUCUUGACAGUGCUUCUGUUAAUACCAGAACAGCCAUCCAGUCUUUUCAGUUGACCUGACCCUAGAUCACAUGCAUAGGAUGACAAUUUAUAAUUGCACUUUGUUUUAGUGCAAAGUGUUUGGCAGUUAUGCCUUUUUUUUUUUUUUUUUUGCAAGAGUGUGUCACAUGGAUGUACAAAUAAUGACGUCUCGGCUUACCCCUGCUUGCUUUAAAAACGUAUUUAAUAUGUGCACUGAAUGAGUGGUGUAAUAUUUAAUGAACAAGCUUCAGACACUGCAAAUGUUUGCAACGAUACAUGUCCCUCGUCCCACCCACCCCUUCUGCUUUGCUGCAUAUUAUCACUUCUGAGUCUUUAAUUUGUGCCGUCUGAUUCGUUCAAAACGUUUAUUUAAUUGCAGUGCUUUUGGUCAUACUGUUUCAAUAAAAACAAUUUAAAACACAGUA
ensembl:lncRNA